rnacentral:rRNA from 1 species
CACGUGCUACAAUGGCAACUACAGUGGGCAGCAAUCCCGCGAGGGUGAGCUAAUCUCCAAAAGUUGUCUCAGUUCGGAUUGUUCUCUGCAACUCGAGAGCAUGAAGGCGGAAUCGCUAGUAAUCGCGGAUCAGCAUGCCGCGGUGAAUACGUUCCCAGGCCUUGUACACACCGCCCGUCACACCAUGGGAGUUGGAUUCACCCGAAGGCGUCGCGCUAACCGCAAGGAGGCAGGCGACCACGGUGGGUUUAGCGACUGGGGUGAAGUCGUAACAAGGUAGCCGUAGGGGAACCUGCGGUUGGAUCACCUCC